rnacentral:lncRNA from 1 species
AAUUUGAUUGGAAUUGUUGUGGGGUAUGCGGUGGUGGCUGCAUAGGCGUUAAAUAAAACUUCUCAGAUUGCUGCUAAUAUCCAUCUUGUUGAGCAUCCUUGGCUUGAUUUUGUGAGCCCUGCACCAAAGAAUUUAAUUCAUCAAAAAUUUGAUUGUAAUCUAUUGACGAAUCUGAGUUUGAUUGGGCAUAUUGUAUAUGAGGUUGUGGUGGCUGCAUAGGUCCUGAAUAGAACUCCUCAUAUGGCUGCCAAUAUCCUUCAUGUUGAACUUGUUGAGCUUCCCACCACAUAGAGUUUGAAUGAUCACUCCAAUCUUUUUGUGAACAUUGAUUGGCUUGAUAUCCUUGCCUAUAAGAUGCACCAAAUAUAGGGACAUUUUGCAUUGUGGUCCUUUCGGCAUACUACGACAUUUGAGAAGUAAGAUUUGCCAAUUGAGCUUGAAUGCUAGCAAAAUUCAUGUCUUACUUCUCUAGUACCUAAAAUCAAAGAAAGAAAACUAAAUCAAAUAUCAAAAGUAAAAUAAACAAAACAAAACAAAAACAGUAACUAAAACAAAAGACACGAAAAAGAAAUAAAAAGAAACAAUGGGGGAUUAGCAAAGUUGCUAAUCCCCGGCAACGGCGCCAAAAUUUGAUGCGAAAUAUUAUAAGCACACAAAUUAAACCCUCUUUUUGACAAUUGUAGUAUAGAUGUAAGUAGGGUAU